rnacentral:lncRNA from 1 species
GGUGUUUAUUUUCAAAUUGGAAUAUGACUGCAUGCUUUGCUUCACUUACAGUCUUUUCUGUUCUUUUCAUAAGGUUCGACAAAUGUAAUAUAUAAUGUAAUAUUGGGGUUGGAAGGUUAGAAAAAAAGGGGGGGGUAGGUUUAUGUUUUAAAGAUAUCAUACAUGUAGAUUCUUGAAAAGAUUAUGUUUGGUCGGAGAGCCUGAUUAUAAAUAAAAUCAUUUUUUUUUCAGAAAUUACAUAUAUAAGAUCGAUAAUUUAUAACUUGGUUUUAGCUUUAGAGCUUAGUUAAGGUACAUUGUAGUCCGCUUGUCAUGUUUUGGGAUUUUUGUCAGAUUUUCGGAAACCUCAGGUUUUAUUCCUUUGAAUGCCUUAAAAAAUGGCAUUGACCCCCAUUUAUCUUUUUAUAAAUCAUUUACAUGUAUAAUGAUAAGCCAUCUGUAAAAGUCUUAUAAAAUUUAAAUUAUUCUUUGAUAGUUUUUGAGAAUGUAAACUUGUCAAUGAUAAAGCUAUGAAAAGUCAAGAGAGAAUAUUUUCCCGCCAAAAUUACAAUGGCUAAUAUCUUGAAAACCAGCACAUUGAUCUGUAUAUUUUUUUACUCUUUUGAUUCCUUUAUUAAUCCCCUAUCGAUAUUCACUUAUAUUUAAAUUGAAAAUUCCAAAAUAAUGUCAUACAAUUGUGAAACUCCAAGUCAAAUGGACAAAUUUAUCUUUCUGCUUUAAAAUG